UACGUAGGAUGCUAGCGUUGUCCGGAUUUACUGGGUGUAAAGGGAGCGCAGGCGGGUUGGUAAGUCGGUGGUGAAAUACUCGAGCUUAACUCGGGAACUGCCAUCGAUACUGCUGAUCUUGAGUGUGGAAGAGGUUGAUGGAAUUCUUGGUGUAGCGGUGAAAUGCGUAGAUAUCAAGAAGAACACCGAUGGCGAAGGCAGUCAACUGGUCCAUUACUGACGCUCAUGCUCGAAAGCGUGGGGAU
rnacentral:rRNA from 1 species